rnacentral:rRNA from 1 species
GAUGAACGCUGGCGGCGUGCCUAAUACAUGCAAGUCGAGCGAACAGACGAGGAGCUUGCUCCUCUGACGUUAGCGGCGGACGGGUGAGUGACACGUGGAUAACCUACCUAUAAGACUGGGAUAACUUCGGGAAACCGGAGCUAAUACCGGAUAAUAUAUUGAACCGCAUGGUUCAAUAGUGAAAGACGGUUUUGCUGUCACUUAUAGAUGGAUCCGCGCCGCAUUAGCUAGUUGGUAAGGUAACGGCUUACCAAGGCAACGAUGCGUAGCCGACCUGAGAGGGUGAUCGGCCACACUGGAACUGAGACACGGUCCAGACUCCUGCGGGAGGCAGCAGUAGGGAAUCUUCCGCAAUGGGCGAAAGCCUGACGGAGCAACGCCGCGUGAGUGAUGAAGGUCUUCGGAUCGUAAAACUCUGUUAUUAGGGAAGAACAAAUGUGUAAGUAACUAUGCACGUCUUGACGGUACCUAAUCAGAAAGCCACGGCUAACUACGUG